rnacentral:rRNA from 1 species
AUCCUACGGGGGGCAGCAGUUAGGAAUAUUCGUCAAUGGGGGGAACCCUGAACGAGCAAUGCCGCGUGAGUGAUGAAGGUCUUAAUGAUUGUAAAACUCUGUUGCAAAGGAAGAACAGCUAUCAUAGGAAAUGAUGAUAGUGUGACGGUACUUUGCCAGAAAGCCCCGGCUAACUACGUGCCAGCAGCCGCGGUAAUACGUAGGGGGCAAGCGUUAUCCGGAUUUAUUGGGCGUAAAGGGAGCGUAGACGGCCAGACAAGUCUGAAGUGAAAAUCCAGCGCUUAACGUUGGAAGUGCUUUGGAAA